UGUAACACAUCAGCUCUCAAAAGCAUUUCUGUUUCUUUCCGUUCUCACUUUGUCAUUGGAGGUGGCAGACAUGCCUUGAAGCUGGUUGCCAUAAAGUGGGAAAUUCAUGAACAUUUCUUCUUUUUGUAUACUCUUUUUACAGUUAUGUUAACAGACUCUCUCUCCUUUCUCCACCACUUUUAUUUUCAGCAAAAUGUAUUUGCCCAAAAAGGGACAAAACACACAAUUGUCAAGGUUAAACCAAGGUGACCCGAACACAGACACACAGGCAGGGCAAACAAUUACAGCACAAAGAGGAGUUUAAUUAACAUAAAGCUGAAAAUCCAAACAGAAAAAUCAGAAAAUGUAGCAACAAGUAAAAAUGUAACAACAGGCAGACAACAGAGAAGGAGCAAAAAAUUAAACAAAUGCAGAACAAAAUACAAAACGGAAAUAACAUGAGGAAUAGACAAACUGACAAUGACAGAGGGGAAGAAAAGGAUUUAAAUACACAGUGAUAAAGGGGCUGAUAAACUAAAAAAGCACAGGUGAGAAGAGAAAAAGGUGGGAAAGCAGACAGAGGGAGGAAAUGAAAAGCAACCCACGGCACAUGGGGACAGAACUUCAAAAUAAAACAGGAAAUAACAAAACCAAAACUCAAACCAUGACAACGAUAAACAAAGAAUAAUGAAUGAAUUGAAAUUAGUUUUAUCUUUUCAAAUUCUCCAUAGAUAUAACAACAAUAUUUGUUCCCAGCUUAAUUAAUGUGAUUGUUUUUGGGUUUCUUUACCCCUGAAACUGAAUAUCUUUGGGUUGUGGACAAUACCAAAUAUCUAAGGAUGGUAUAUUGAGCUUUGGGAAAACCUGACUGACAUACAUUUGAAAAUAUGUUAAGAAUAUAAUAAUCUAAAAGAAUCUCAGGCUUUAUAUUUAUCAAUUCAUUUUUUAAACAUAAACACUUGCCCUGAAACAGAAUGUAAGUACAUCAAGAACACUGAACAUGUUUGAACUAGAUGGAACAUUAUCUGAUGUAUUUGGAAAGAAAAUGAGGUAGAGGGCUGGGUGCUGUUACUGUUUGAUUUUGAAAACCACCCAUUAUUGCAUGUUUUUUAACCUAGAUCCAUAAAAGAAGACACGUUGUCUCCAUAGAGGUUUUGGCAGUACUGCAUUAGCAGGUUAAUGUUAAAAUAGCACAGGCCAGGGGUCUGAAAACAGCUGGAGUGGGUGAGUCAACACAUCCCCCCACUGGGCUGCACAUUCCCCCGAGCUCCCGGCCAGUGAGUGUGAUAUGAUGAAGAACAUCCUCCCGGACUCUGCUGUGGUUGGACGAGGCAGCUGUCCAGUCUCCCCUGGGGUCAAUCUUGUAGAACUUGCUGAAGAAGUUCAGCUGGAUGACAACAAAGCCCGGAGUGACCUCCAUGUGUGAUAUCAUCAGAUUUCUCUGAUGUUAUAAACACAUUCAUUUAUACACAACAAAGUCACUAUAUGAGCAUUAUCAGUGUUUCAAAAAACACAGAUUUUGUCCAGCUUGUAUCACACUAUUGCUCACAGGUGGCUUAGACCCAAAUCAAUUUGACAAACAAUUGAUCAUUUUGUGCAUUAACAAAAUCACUGAAUGGAUGAUGCUAAACUAACACUUAUUAUUACUGCAGCUAUAAUCCAAUGAAGUUGAAGUUAGAUCAUGCUGUGCAAAAUGACAGAAAAUAUCAGCAAGACUGAGCAAAAUGUAAAAAUACAGUUUCAUGCUCAGAAAAGACACAAAGAGAAAACCGAAUUCGCUAACAAAAACUACUGCCGUGAUAAUUGCGAGUGUGUUAGUGACUAGUGUUGACAUGUUUCCAUUUAUAUCCACUGGUUUUGUGAUUUUGGUGUGUUUGUAGCACUUUGAAAAGGUGACAAUGUGCAAGCGUAUAGGUAACUUUCACGAGUGGCGUACUGUAUGUAUCAAUUACCUGGUCUGGUCUGGAUGGAUUUCUGACAGAUGGAGUGAUUUCAGCGCUAAAUUGUUGUUAUUGCCGCUGUUUUGACAUUGAUUUUUCCUUAUUUCCCAGAGUGGUCACAGUAUAAUUUUUGCAACCCCUCAAUCAAAAUGAAUCAAAACAUCUUAAUGAACUUCUCAUGGUGUGAAAUGGGAAGAAAACAAUACCCGCCAGUCUGGACUGGGGCUCCUAUGGAGACUCCCUGAUGUUUUCUAAUCAUGCUCUGCCACAUUUCACAUGUUAAGGUCUUUUUAUAAAGCAGGAACAUUAUGCUGCUUGUGGCAAGCUGAUCAUAUGUUACCCUGGCAACUUGCUAUGCAUCCUCGGUUCCUCAUGUUGUGAUCAGCUGAAAUGCCACAAACAUCUCUGUGAUGUUUGAUAUGAUCACAAUGCUGCUGUCAUGGACAUGUUGGCCAAACAUUUCUGUUGCUGUUGUCAGUGGGUGGGAAUCUUUGACAUUGAGAUUGUUGCCCAUGUGCCCUUUAAAUGCACUGUGUCUAGCCAGAGAAGAUGCUGCUUCUCUGCUUUGCAUUUUUUUCCUUUGCAGUUCAGGUUUACGACCAGCCUCUGCGCUAUGAUUCCCUUCGCACGGGCCCGUAGCUAAUCAAAGCCUCUCUUUCUGCUUAGCUGUCAUGCACACAAAUUCCCAACAGCACAUCCUUAUUAGCCCUGAGUCUAAAGCGCACCAAAGUCAACUGACAGGCCUCCCAGGCCCCGCAAGAGCAAUUCUUAAGAAGUGUUUCAUUCUCCCUGUCAGACACAUGUGGAUCUGAGCUGAUGACUUUGCAACUUAUGUCUGAGAGUUUCUCCUCCCACCUCGGCAUCUGUGUUCCCGGUAUAAUGAUAUCAGUGGAGGUUGCUCUGUUAUGGCAGCUGUAAUAAUCUGCAAUCGCAGCAAAGCCAGAUUUGAUCUCAGGAUUAAGCAAACGAUGUUCCCAGAGUCACUUUGAUAACGUUACAUCAUUAGUAAGUGCCCUACUUGUCCUCAAGAAUCAAGAGUCAGGUUCCAUUUAUUUAUUUUUUUAUGGCAAGUGAUAUGUCACUAAGGUGCAUGGGUUAUAUUCAUACCUCAGGGUUUAGUGAACAGAUAUCGCUGUCAGUGGAGAAAAUGGUAAAGAAUGAAAGCUGAAACCACAAAUUUUGAAACUCCUGCAUGUUGUUGACAUUGCACGCUGUGAGAGCUGACUGAAUGAACUGAGGACCCACAGCAAAUAUCUGCAGAGUUGUUGUGGAGGAUUUUGCAGAAGCUUGCUAUCUAUUUUAUGUCAAAAAUUUUAAAUUUGGGGAUUGCACCAUUUCGUUUUCGAGGGGGUCCUCAUUAGAAUCUGCUCGAAGGGUACCUGAAAGAUGUGUCAGCUGGAGUGGUGGAAAUGAGGGAAAAGAUACGAAUAAGCUAUUAUUAAUGGCUAUAAUGCACAUAUAGGGCACAUCCUAAGUCAUCCUAAGUUUCCAUCACUUGCGUCUUUUUCCUUACAUCAUAGUCCCUCCAGUGGAGGUAGACAGGGAAACCAUGUAAAUAGAGAGGAAACGAUGAAAUGUGUUUGAAAUGUGAGUGAUUAGAUGUCCUUUCCUUUCCUAAAGUGUCAUGAAUGUCCCUUUCCCACCACCAAUGGUUGCCUGGUCAAAUAAUCAAGCCAGAGUUGGCGUCCCAUUUGUGACUAAGAGUCAAGAGUGAUUUAUAAGUUUUGUUAAGGAACUGACUUAAUGUACGUACACAACGUUACAUAUGUGAGCUACAUACCUAUGUAACUAACUUUGAGUAAGUUACGAAAAUGAUCUUUUCCCAAACCAAGACCAUUUGACAAUAUUAAUAACAGUCCAAAAGACAUUAAAUGAUAACUGUUUGUGUCAAACUGGACACUGCAUAUCAUGUAUUCUUGCUAACUUGGCUGUAGAGCUCUUCACAUGCAAAUCUGACACUGGAGGUUAAAGUAGAGCUUCAUAUUUUGAGGCUGAAGGCCACUGACCCAGCUGCCAUAUGUUUCUAGUUGGAUUGUCAUGCAAAGCAGUGCCAUCUCGUUCAAAUAUGCCAGACGCAUUGUGGAGUUUUUACGUGUAAUGAUGUCUAGCUGAAAGUCCUCCGUGAAGGCUGCUCUCAUGUAUCCUCAGUCAUCGCUCCCCAGAGAUCCCCUCCUUGUUCCCUGGAGAGGAAAUAAGAGCUUUGGAGUAACUUGGGGGAUGACGCACCAGAACAAUUUGAUGGUCAAGCGAAGAUCGAGCAGCGCCAGUGCGGAUGUACCCACGUCGCUGACAUCAGUGCCUUCUCUCUUUUUUGACCUCACUUUAUGUCACCCAUGGCAGUUUUGACCCAACAAGCCAAUAAACCAAUUGCAAUAUUCCAUCACACCUAGCAAAUAUUCGUAAUAUACAUGAAAAUAUUAUUACAUAUAGACAGUUAUGUUCUAGAAUUUUAGAUGUUUUGUUACUGUUUGCUAGUGUUGUUCUGCAGAGCUGAAUCUGACAUCUUUCAACACAAAAGUGAGGCUCGGCUUGGACUUGACACCUCUGAGACGUGACUUAACUUCAUACUUGACUUGAGAGUUGAAGGCAAGAAAACACUGAAGUCUCAAGUUUCAUCCCAGUAACAAUAAAAAUACAUUAUUGCUCAACAGACUUGAGACUUGACUCAAACUUGCCUCAGACUCCUGUGGAUACAUGAAUAUGAUCUUAAACUCACAAGACUCUCCUGUGUAAUCAAAGGAAAUAUGAAGCUCUCCGCAGGUCUUCCUCCCGCUGCGAGCACUUGCAGAUGUGCUCGCCGUGGAGCUUAUUCUGUUCUUCUGAGGCUGUGACAGAGCCGAUGGAUUAUUCAAUAGUGUAAUGAACGAGGUGUCUGAAACGUUCAGCUCCACUGUUGGCCAGAAUGAUUUCUCUUGGUCUACCUCUGUCUUGCUAUACGUUGCUCUUAUUGAUUAUGAUGAGGCUUUCUCCUCUCCAGUUAUUACAAUAUUGAUCUGGGAACAGAGCGGAUAGAGGGGUGAAGUUUUGGAGGCGGAGGAACUAAAAGCUGAGUGAGGAAUCGAUGGGCCGCGACCACAUGCGAGCACUCUAAGCUAAGUUUAGAAUUGUGGCAUCAUUAACCCUGGGUGUCUGAGGUUACAGCCAAGAAUAAUCAAAAAAACAAUUAACAGAAAAAUUUUGAAAAGAAAAGAAAAUCAAGCCAUGGAAAAUAUGUACUAAUAUCUUCUCUACUUGGCACGCUACAUUUUGUGUGAGAGGGAGAGAGCUGGUAACAGGGCUUGUCAUCGUUGGCAUCUGGUGGUAGCUAGCUAAUUCACAAAGGCAAGACUUUGAGGGCUAUAGACAUAAGAAGCUUUCACAAAAAGGGGAAAUGAUGAAGGCAACGUGCUGCAGGAAAGGCUUGAGGAGGUGGAUGAAGAGUUAUCUCCCGUUGCUGUAGCAGCAGAUGAGUCAGGACGUGAGAGCACCACUGCCUCGUGUACAGUGCAAGCUCAGGAGAGAGGAGAGCAGGAGGAAAUGAGGAGAGGGAAAGACAGAUGAGACAACAAAAGAGCGACUGGAGAGGAGAGUAUCAGGUAGAGACAUUAGAGUUCAGGAGGAGUCCUUGUCAUACAUGAUUGGUCAGUCAUCGACAUUCAGCAACGCACUGGCAGCAUACAAUCUAGCAUAUGAUUGCUUCACCAAUGCCAAAGCUCUUACUUUUGAAUGUGUUUUUCAAAGUUGAACGAGAACUCAGAUUGCACUCAUUUUGUUUGAUACAUACCUACCUGGAACCUUUGUAUAGAGCACAGAGUUUAAAUCUUAUAUUCAUUUCACUUACUAUUUCAAGAAUAGUGCAAUUAUAGGGUGAAAAUCUUAAGAGUCCUAGACAGGGCUUAACCGCCCAUAUUUCAAGAUCCUAACAGCGCCUCUGUUGAGGUAGACAGUUUCAGUAGCCUGACAUUUUGAGGACUUUAUUAUAGGAGGAUGACACACCAGGAGGGUUACUGUAAAGGGUAGUUUUCUUACCAGAGGAGAAAUGUGUUUUGUCUCUGAUCUUUUUUGGCUGGAUCAAAUGUAUUUGGAGAGUGGUUAGUUUGGAAGUUAGUUGAAUGCCAUCUCUAGGAAAUAUAUAUAUAUAUUAUAAUAUAUAUAUAACAGCAGCUUUUCUGAUAUUUUUCCAUUUUUAAUGGAGUAUGAAACCUUUUUUGCACAUAUUUUUGGAAACUUAAGCAUCAGCCCACGGCGUUGAUUCAUUAUGGUUGGCAACGGUUGAUGUGCUCGGAGACCGAAAACCUCUGUGGUGCGCUAUUAGCAUGUCACUGACAUGUAUAGCUUAUGAACAUUGAUAGCCUACAGUAUUUUCCUGCUUUCUCAACACACAUCUCACAUGGCAUUAAGUAUGUACUGUUAGGGAUUUGAGACAUUUUCGCUCGACAACAUUGAACAUUUGGCAGGCCCCAUCUUGCUUACAAGUCUGUAAUCCACUCAAAAAGUGAAAGCUAACAGCUUAGCUAGCUAAAGAUGGCACAAAAUUCCCACAAGACCAUACUAGAAAGCUAGUAUGUAACUGUAAUAAUGUAAUUUCUUCUUGUUGGUAAUAAGAAUUUUCUGUAUUAUAUGGAAAACACUUCACAUCCAAUCAAUUUCAAUAGGCUACCAUCACAUUUGAAAAGAUGUAGUCUUUUCAGACGUCUGUAGGACUUCAGUGUGUCCUCAGUGUGUCCCUGACCGUCUCCCCUCUCUUCGUCUCUAAACACAAACUCCACAGUCUGAAGGUCUGCGGAGGAUUGCAUCCCCUCAGUUCAUUUCUGUGUCUGUUUGCCCGCUCCUUGGAGCUUAGUAAAGCAGAAAGUGAGUCUUCUUCCAAACUCAGCCUCCCCUGGUGUGCGACCUCAAUUACAGAGGCAGAGAGAUUAUGGGUCAGAAUUAAUACCACUCUUAAUCUGUACACACUCCUCGCCAACUCCUUCUAUCUGCCCUCACCCUCCAUCUAGUGUCUUCAUUCGAUGCCAGUUUCUUUUAAUAAACAGAUGAUAGUUUG